UACGUAGGUGGCAAGCGUUAUCCGGAAUUAUUGGGCGUAAAGCGCGCGUAGGCGGUUUUUUAAGUCUGAUGUGAAAGCCCACGGCUCAACCGUGGAGGGUCAUUGGAAACUGGAAAACUUGAGUGCGGAAGAGGAAAGUGGAAUUCCAUGUGUAGCGGUGAAAUGCGCAGAGAUAUGGAGGAACACCAGUGGCGAAGGCGACUUUCUGGUCUGUAACUGACGCUGAUGUGCGAAAGCGUGGGGAUCAAACAGGAUUAGAUACUCUGGUAGUCAAGGGCG
rnacentral:rRNA from 1 species